rnacentral:rRNA from 1 species
UACAGAGGGUGCAAGCGUUGUUCGGAAUUAUUGGGCGUAAAGCGCGUGUAGGCGGCUUUGCAAGUCGGGUGUGAAAGCCCUCGGCUCAACCGAGGAAGUGCGCCCGAAACUGCAGAGCUUGAGUACCGGAGAGGAUGGCGGAAUUCCCCAAGUAGAGGUGAAAUUCGUAGAUAUGGGGAGGAACACCGGUGGCGAAGGCGGCUAUCUGGACCGACAUUGACGCUGAGGCGCGAAAGCGUGGGGAGCAAACAGG